rnacentral:rRNA from 1 species
CCUACGGGAGGCUGCAGUGGGGAAUAUUGGACAAUGGGCGAAAGCCUGAUCCAGCCAUGCCGCGUGUGUGAAGAAGGCCUUCGGGUUGUAAAGCACUUUCAGUGGGGAAGAAAGCCUUGGGGCUAAUACCCUCGAGGAAGGACAUCACCCACAGAAGAAGCACCGGCUAACUCCGUGCCAGCAGCCGCGGUAAUACGGAGGGUGCGAGCGUUAAUCGGAAUUACUGGGCGUAAAGCGCGCGUAGGCGGUCUGAUAAGCCGGUUGUGAAAGCCCCGGGCUCAACCUGGGAACGGCAUCCGGAACUGUCAGGCUAGAGUGCAGGAGAGGAAGGUAGAAGUCCCGGUGUAGCGGUGAAAUGCGUAGAGAUCGGGAGGAAUACCAGUGGCGAAGGCGGCCUUCUGGACUGACACUGACGCUGAGGUGCGAAAGCGUGGGUAGCAAACAGGAUUAGAUACCCGGGUAGUC